CCAUAAGACAACAACUCUAUCCAACCACUCAGUUCUAAUCCUCGAAGGGAAUUUACAAAAUACCUUCCACAGAUGAGCCUAUGAACUUCAUUUCAUCAACCUCCUGCAUA